GCCGGUUUGGCUCAGUGGGUAGAGCGUCAGCCUGUGGACUGGGAGGUCCCAGGUUCGAUUCCAGUCGGCA
rnacentral:tRNA from 1 species